GGCUGGAUAGCUCAGUUGGUAGAGCGCCGGCACUUUAAGCCGGAGGUUGUUGGUUCAAGUCCUGCUCCAGUCA